AAUACGGAGGGGGCUAGCGUUGUUCGGAAUUACUGGGCGUAAAGCGCGCGUAGGCGGCUUUGUAAGUCAGAGGUGAAAGCCUGGAGCUCAACUCCAGAACUGCCUUUGAGACUGCAUCGCUUGAAUCAUGGAGAGGUUAGUGGAAUUCCGAGUGUAGAGGUGAAAUUCGUAGAUAUUCGGAAGAACACCAGUGGCGAAGGCGACUAACUGGACAUGUAUUGACGCUGAGGUGCGAAAGCGUGGGGAGCAAACA
rnacentral:rRNA from 1 species